UAAGCCGCAGAAAGUGGAGGUGGCAAUCCCUGGGGCCAGCCUCAGCCAGGAGGGGUCCAGGUCCUCCCACAAAUAACCCAACCUCCCGUCCUUCAGAGGCACAGCCCGUGGAGGUGCCUGGUAGGACUGAGCAUGCUGCCCCCGUGGGACCUGCUCAGCAACUCGGCUGCACAGACUCCUCCUUUCUUCCCACCUCUCCAUCCCACUGCUCCCCCGUUCCCUCGGGCUUCCCGGGUCCCCUCCAGGUAAUCCACCUGCACCCAAGCCCCUGCCUGGGCUCUGCCUUCAGGGGAACCCAAACCAAGACACAUCUCUUUUACAUCAAAUGCAGUGUGCUUUUCUGCUGAGAGACAUGGAAAGGCCUCAGGGGAAACACAAGAAUCUGGCGACAAUGACCGCCUUUAGGGAGGCACCAGUAGGAGACACAGCAAGAUGUUUACUAGUCACUCUUCCUUUGGUUGCUUCUGUGCCUUCUGAACCUUGUUCCCUGGGCAUACCUAACUUACUCAAAAACUUACUCUUUCAUAAAAGACAUCAACUCCUAGGUGUCUGUGCGAGAGAAAUGGAAACACAUGUGCACCCGGUGUCGUGAACACAAAUGGCCGUGAAGUGUUCAGCCACUUGAUUGCCAAUAGCCACAAGGUGGGCACCCCAGCAUCCAUCAGCUGCUGGGCAGAUGCACAGUACAUGCAUACGACGAAACCUGGUUCAGCCAUGGAAAGGAGGGAGGCUCUGACUCACACCACAGCACAGACAAGCCUCAGGACGUGCUGCUCAGCGAGAGGCCACAUCUUGUCUGACUCUGCUGCUGCGAAAUAUUUGGAGCAGGCGCGUCCAAGGAGACGGGAGGUAUGCCAGGGCUGCCAGGGCCUGGGACAGGAAUAGGGUGAGCCGUGAAGGGGCACACGGGGUCUAUCUGGAAGGAUGCAAUGUUCCGACGGUGGAUCGUGCUGGUGGCUGCAUGAUGCGGUGACAACCACUAAAUCAUACACCUGAGACAGGUGACUUGUGUAGCAUGCAAAUUCCACCUCAAUAAAGUUUUUUAAAAACAACAACAAAAAGGUGACUGACACCUCAGAACCUCCAAGUGGGGGCAGCGGUGGGCACUGCCUGCUCCUGCUGGUGGGAACUGGGUGGGGUGAGCCCCCGCCAGGAGUCUUCCCGGGCAGGCUUGGCUGCCAAUGCCUGGACACAGCUAUCUGGGUGACUGGGCUCCAUGACAUUUGCCUAGGACACAGCAGGGGAGCCGCAGCACGCCCCUUUCUCAAUCUCAUUUCUGCGACUCAAACAAGAAAACCUUAAACAAAUAAACUAACAAAAAGGGUGACACACGGAGCUCCUGGCUGGGGUGCAGGGCUGUCUUGAGCCCCCCAAGAAUCUCUGUGCAGACAGGCUCUUGGCCGUGCGGGCCCCCACACCACUGCCCAAUCCUCCUUCUGAUGGGCUGUGACCCAGGGACACUUCUGCAGGCAUCGUCCUGCAUGGGUGGAGACAGGAGGGCUGAGGCCGGGCCAGGCAGCAUCCUGUACACUCAGGAAGACCCCAUGACUUCGCAGGGGGUGGCAAGGACCCAGGAAAUGUCCACCCCCCUUUUUAUUGACAACACUGAGGAGCCCUCAAGUCCUGGCCUUUACCCCACCUCCCCGACACGCCCAUUCCUCCCUGUGGUAGGUAGGCCAUUCCUGCAUUGCUAUAAAGAAACUGAGACUGGGUAAUUUAUAAAGAAAAGGGGUUUGACUGGCUCAGUUUCUGUAGGCUACACAGGAAGCAUGGCACUGGCAUCUGCUUGGCUUCCAAUGAGGCCUCAGGAAGCUUCCAAUCAUGUCAGAAGACACAGGAGGAGCCCAUGUGUUGCACAGCAAGAGUGGGAGGGCAGGUGGUGGGGGGAAGAUGCCACAGACUGAUUCCCAGCUCUCUCGAGAGCUCACUAUCACAAGGACAGCACCAAGCCAGAAGGGAGCCAUCCCUAUGACCCAGCUCCUCCCACCAGGCCCUACCUCCAGCACUGGGGACUACAUCCCCACAUGAGACUGGAGCGGGACAUCCAAGCUAUAUCACCCUUUCAGCAGGGAGGAGCAGAGGCUCCCCACUGUGUGCUGCUCAGAGCAGCCAGAGACCAAUAUCAAACGAAAAGAAGGAGAAACAGAGCCAGCAC